AGAUCUUGCUGUUGAAUACCAGCUUUAUCAUUUGGAAGCCAACUUACGUAUGUAACAAAAAAUAUAAGGCCAGAUAAAGAGAGCUGAGAAACCCUGAGUCUUUAGGAGAACUCAUGGGUGGAGUUACGGAUUCUGUAAAGGCAAAAAAGGCUUUGCACCAAGGUUCAAUAGAAGUUCAAAAUAUAAAAUAGAAAUGGCUCAAUACCAAAGUCCUGGUAUCCGAAAAUCCCACAGACUUUGGAAUUUGAAGUUCAUGGUAUUAAUCUAAUUUGUUCUAGCUGGGUAGCCAGCCCUUUGUGUGCCUGACAGCUGUCUGUUACAAGCAAGAAUACAUCUGAUGCGGUAGAGGGAUAUAUUGGCCUUCUCUGCUUCCUAAACAGAAGAGAAUUUGCCAUUUCUAACUGGUGCCAGCACAGAAGCAAAGGUGCAUCUGGUUGUCUAUCUAUCUGAUGAAGAUUGGUUUUGAAAUGUAUCCCAUCUCUGACUGGAGGGAACGUGGCCAGGACAAGAGGCUUCCAGGGUUAAUAGCAGAUAAAUGUCUAUCUGAGAAGGGAGUUGUGCACUUGAACUCCACUUGCAGAGAACGACUGGUGAAAUGUGUGCUAGAAGCAACCGGAUCCAUAACUCUGAUUAAAGAGGUUCUACAAAAGUAACUGUUCUACUGAUUAACGAGUUGAGGCUCUA
rnacentral:lncRNA from 1 species